GAUGAACGCUGGCGGCGUGCCUAAUACAUGCAAGUCGAGCGAAUGGAUUAAGAGCUUGCUCUUAUGAAGUUAGCGGCGGACGGGUGAGUAACACGUGGGUAACCUGCCCAUAAGACUGGGAUAACUCCGGGAAACCGGGGCUAAUACCGGAUAAUAUUUUGAACUGCAUGGUUCAAAAUUGAAAGGAGGCUUCGGCUGUCACUUAUGGAUGGAUCCGCGUCGCAUUAGCUAGUUGGUGAGGUAACGGCUCACCAAGGCAACGAUGCGUAGCCGACCUGAGAGGGUGAUCGGCCACACUGGGACUGAGACACGGCCCAGACUCCUACGGGAGGCAGCAGUAGGGAAUCUUCCGCAAUGGACGAAAGUCUGACGGAGCAACGCCGCGUGAGUGAUGAAGGCUUUCGGGUCGUAAAACUCUGUUGUUAGGGAAGAACAAGUGCUAGUUGAAUAAGCUGGCACCUUGACGGUACCUAACCAGAAAGCCACGGCUAACUACGUGCCAGCCGCCGCGGUAA
rnacentral:rRNA from 1 species